UUGACGGGGACCCGCACAAGCGGUGGAGCAUGUGGUUUAAUUCGAAGCAACGCGAAGAACCUUACCAAAUCUUGACAUCCUUUGACAACUCUAGAGAUAGAGCCUUCCCCUUCGGGGGACAAAGUGACAGGUGGUGCAUGGUUGUCGUCAGCUCGUGUCGUGAGAUGUUGGGUUAAGUCCCGCAACGAGCGCAACCCUUAAGCUUAGUUGCCAUCAUUAAGUUGGGCACUCUAAGUUGACUGCCGGUGACAAACCGGAGGAAGGUGGGGAUGACGUCAAAUCAUCAUGCCCCUUAUGAUUUGGGCUACACACGUGCUACAAUGGACAAUACAAAGGGCAGCGAAACCGCGAGGUCAAGCAAAUCCCAUAAAGUUGUUCUCAGUUCGGAUUGUAGUCUGCAACUCGACUACAUGAAGCUGGAAUCGCUAGUAAUCGUAGAUCAGCAUGCUACGGUGAAUACGUUCCCGGGUCUUGUACACACCGCCCGUCACACCACGAGAGUUUGUAACACCCGAAGCCGGUGGAGUAACCUUUUAGGAGCUAGCCGUCGAAGGUGGGACAAAUGAUUGGGGUGAAGUCGUAACAAGGUAGCCGUAUCGGAAGGUGCGGCUGGAUCACCUCCUUU
rnacentral:rRNA from 1 species